ensembl:lncRNA
AAAAUGUUUAUUUUUGGCACAUGCGCAGCGCAUGCAGUUCUUGAGCCACUUACAGAAAAUGAUUCAUCAAUUUAUUGAUUGAAUGCUGUCUGUAUUUAAAGUAGUUCUGAAGUAAGUACAAUUAAAUGUGCUUUUUUUCCUGUGAACUACAAACACACGUUUCACACAUUCUCAAGUCAUCAUAUUUUAUAAUAGCCUAUUUAUUUAUGCUGCCAACACACUGUCAAUGACACUGACUCAACUCCAGCCACUUUAAUAAUGGGAAUUGAUGGGAAAUGAUGUAAAUAUAUCACUAGCCACUUUAAACAAUGCUACCUUGAAUAAUGUAGGGUAAGUAACAUUAUAUAUCUCAUAUGCAUACGUAUAUACUGUACUCUAUAUCAUCGACUGCAUCCUUAUGUAAUACAUGUAUCACUAGCCACUUUAACUAUGCCACUUGGUUUACAUACUCAUCUCAUAUGUAUAUACUGUACUCGAUAUCAUCUACUGUAUCUUGCCUAUGCUGCUCUGUACCAUCACUCAUUCAUAUAUCCUUAUGUACAUAUUCUUUAUCCCCUUACACUGUGUAUAAGACAGAAGAUUUUUGGAAUUGUUAGUUAGAUUAGUUGUUCGUUAUUACUGCAUUGUCGGAACUAGAAGCACAAGCAUUUCGCUACACUCGCAUUAACAUCUGCUAACCAUGUGUAUGUGACAAAUAAAAUUUGAUUUGAUUUAUUUAUAUUCAUUCCAGAAAAAAAAGUGUGUGAUGAGAAAAUGGCAACACAGUUGACAAUAUUGGAUUUGUUUUGUCUGAUAGAACUAGUGGGCAGCUUUUGUCCUUGAGCCUGUGUGAGAAGGCUGAUUCCCAAAGGGAAGAAAUAUCCAGAACUCUCUCAUUUGUUCAUGAGACCCACGAGCAGGUUUAAGCUCCUUUUUUUUAACCUGUAUUUUACUAGGCAAGUCAGUUAAGAACAAAUUCUUAUUUUCAAUGACAGCCUAGGAACAGUGGGUUAACUGCCUGUUCAGGGGCAGAACGACAGAUUUUGUACCUUGUCAGCUCUGGGGUUUGAACUUGCAACCUUCCGGUUACUAGUUCAACGCUCUAACCACUAGGCUACCCUGAACAAUAUGCCAACAUAUUUGAGUGAAGCGAGAAUAUUGUAGCGCUAGGUCAGGUUGGAAUGUCUCUUUCAUAUGUAAAUGUUGCUCAACUUCAGAAUAAAUGUAUCAUUACCUUCUCGUAUUGUAUUAAGUUGUAAUUUUAUGAUACUGUAGAUGUCUAAUGUAACAAAAUGGAUCCACCCCUGUCCUAAAUUUACUGGACUUUGAACUUCUAAUUCCUGACAUCAGACUACAAACUUUGAAAGCCAAUAACCAAAGGGAGAGCAAAUGUUUGCUUCUUCUUUGACCAAGGGCAGUGUCAGAGCCCUGUAAAAAACAGACAGGAGAACUGCCCAUCUCUGCUUGGUUGUAACUGCGUGGGAGAAGUCCGUUUUCCAUUUCAGUUUUCACAUCAAAUCAAAUCAAAUCAAAUUUAUUUAUAUAGCCCUUCGUACAUCAGCUGAUAUCUCAAAGUGCUGUACAGAAACCCAGCCUAUAACCCCAAACAGCAAGCAAUGCAGGUGUAGAAGCACGGUGGCUAGGAAAAACUCCCUAGAAAGGCCAAAACCUAGGAAGAAACCUAGAGAGGAACCAGGCUAUGUGGGGUGGCCAGUCCUCUUCUGGCUGUGCCGGGUGGAGAUUAUAACAGAACAUGGCCAAGAUGUUCAAAUGUUCAUAAAUGACCAGCAUGGUCGUAUAAUAAUAAGGCAGAACAGUUGAAACUGGAGCAGCAGCACGGUCAGAUGGACUGGGGACAGCAAGGAGUCAUCAUGUCAGGUAGUCCUGGGGCAUGGUCCUAGGGCUCAGGUCCUCAGAGAGAGAGAAGGAGAGAAUUAGAGAACACACACUUAGAUUCACACAGGACACCGAAUAGGACAGGAGAAGUACUCCAGAUAUAACAAACUGACCCUAGCCCCCCGACACAUAAACUACUGCAGCAUAAAUACUGGAGGCUGAGACAGGAGGGGUCAGGAGACACUGUGGACCCAUCCGAGGACACCCCCGGACAGGGCCAAACAGGAAGGAUAUAACCCCACCCACAUCACAUUUGAAGUGCAAGUAAUCUACAUCUUGCAGUCUCAUCUGUGUGUGUCUUUGCACAUAUUCCUGACUAAGGUAAUAGUAAUUAGGUCAUAACUACUGUGUGAAACUUUACCAACUUAAGGGUGUCUCGUUUUCCCUCACUGUGGUUUACAAAGGUGUUGCUAUUGCACAUUUCCCUAGUAUGUACUUAGACCUUGUCAUAGAGAGAAAAGCCUAAGUUAGCAGGGAAAUGGUGGCCUCUGUAGAAGGUGCAUUUUCAUAUCUCAUUUGCAUUGUCAUAGAGGGAACGAUGCUUGAUUCUGGCAACACAACCUUCUUAGAGUAUCUGUGCCUUUCAAAGAUUAAUCCUGGUUUUCAUUUGUGCCACAAAGUUGGCUUGGCCCCCAAAAAACAUUAAAGGGACCUUUGUGGAGGGCCUUUUACAGAGAGCUUAAUUUCAAAUGCCUUUUAAUCUGCUUUAAUCCGUAGCAGAGAUCACAUCAUUAAAAUAGAUUUUGGAGGGGGAAAGUAUUUGUAUAACUUUGUAUCCUGUCCACCUUGAUUAUUGAUUUAACUAAAUAAAUUGACAGAUUUGUUAGAAAAAGGCCCUGCCUUUCACACAUACAGUAUCACAGGUGCAAUGGAAGUAAUAAAAUAGAUAAUUUAUAUUAUAUAAAGAUGAUAUAAUCUAGCUAAUUCAAUAAAAUUACUAAACAUGGAACAGCUUAAUAACUAUCCUGGUUAUUACCAGAACACUGCCCUUGCCAAAGCCAUUGCAUCAUCCUACCUAAAAGCCUGAUGUCCAACUCCAAUAUAAGCUUAGCUAAAGCCACUUAAUGUCAAAAAUCAUCUGUCUCAGAACCCUAAUUACAACACUGCAGGGAAGACAACAAAAACCUUUCUUUUUUUUUCCCUGGCCAAGGAAAAUGUUGAUGGUUCUUGGGAAUAGAGAUUAAUAUGUAAGGCUGCAAUACAAAUUGAUCACGGAUGAUGCUUCAUGUUAUGUGCAGUGUCUGUGCUGAUGUGUGGUGUGGUUAGUAUUGUGACAUUUCAAUCUGCUGAUUAUAUUUAGCAAAAAACAAGACUCAUGAACAUUAAUUCAUUGCAUACCAUUCUCCAGUGAUAAAAUGUGUCCGACAUAUGUCAUCUAGUGGUAGAUACUAACAAGUGUUUUUCUUUCCUUUCCAUUUCAGGUUGGCAUUGAAAGGCACUAUGGCUGACCGGUGGCUUCAAACGCUCUCAAUGGCCAAUGGAUACCAUCAGCAAUCCAGCAUUUAUAUGUAAUUCAUCGUAACAAGGAUGAAUCAUCAGCCUUCCUACCUUAAAGGGGAAAUUCACACAUUUUAACAUGUGGCAUUAUUUUUACUCUUUCUGUGCUUGUAAUUGAUCCCCCUCCAAAUAUUAAAAAAAACAAUGUUUUGUUAGAGAGAAAAUUGAUUGUCACUUUGACUACAAUGCAGUAUGAAAACGUGUCGAAAGUAUGUUAUAAAAUGCUCAAAAACACUCCAGACCAACUCAUAUUACAUCAGAAUCUCAUUCUGGAUGUCUCUACACUCAAUCCUUGUUUUUUUCCCCCACUGUUCAAUAAAUUCAUGUUUGAAUUGAAUUACAACAACAAAAUUAUGCAAAUAUGGAUUUAUUGGACAGUGGACAUUUCUCUCAAAUUGAGUGCAGAGACAUUAUACAGAAUAAGAUUCUGAUUUAAAACGUUUCAUAACAUGCUUCUUUCUACACAUUUUCAUAAUGCAUUGUAGUCUUUAGCAAGUGAUGAGAGCAAAAUGUGAUUUCCAAUUUUCUCUCUAACAAAACUAAAUAUAUAAAAAACAGUUUGGGCGAUCAACAGAAGCACAGAAAGAGUGAGGAUAAGGCCACAUGUAAAAAUGGGUGAACUUCCCCUUUAAGGUAGGAAAGCUGA